GACGAACGCUGGCGGCGUGCCUAAUACAUGCAAGUCGAACGAACCGCGACUAAGUGCUUGCACUAAGUCAAGGUGAGUGGCGAACGGGUGAGUAACACGUGGGUAACCUACCUCAUAGUGGGGGAUAACAGUCGGAAACGACUGCUAAUACCGCAUAGGACAUAGGAUCACAUGAUCCAGUGAGGAAAGGUGGCGCAAGCUAUCGCUAAGAGAUGGACCCGCGGCGCAUUAGCUAGUUGGUAGGGUAAAGGCCUACCAAGGCGAUGAUGCAUAGCCGACCUGAGAGGGUGAUCGGCCACAUUGGGACUGAGACACGGCCCAAACUCCUACGGGAGGCAGCAGUAGGGAAUCUUCCGCAAUGGACGCAAGUCUGACGGAGCAACGCCGCGUGAGUGAAGAAGGUCUUCGGAUCGUAAAGCUCUGUUGUUAGAGAAGAACAGCGCAUAGAGUAACUGCUAUGCGUGUGACGGUAUCUAACCAGAAAGCCACGGCUAACUACGUG
rnacentral:rRNA from 1 species